AGCUCUCCUCGUCGCACCUCCGUCUCUCUCCCUUUCUUCCACCCCCUCCGUCUCUCCUCCCAGCUCCGGCUGACGGCCACCGAAGACCUCCAUGGCUCCAUAUCCACCGCCGCCCUGGCAGUCCACUCGCCGCCGUCCCGUAAAGCUCCUCUCGCUGACGCCCCGUUCAACUCCUGGCGCGCCGCCUCUAAUCAAGAUCCGACGCACCGCCAUGGGGUUCCGAUGUGCUACUGCCGGAACCAGUUGAGCUGCCCUUGACCGGCGUUCGUUGUCCUCGCCGACUACCCCGACUAGCUGGCUUCUUCCCGCCUGGUGACCUGCAUCUUCAUCCUGUACUGCCGGCAUGUACGGCGGCCACACCGAAGGCUGGCUACCAGGCCGUAGACGAGACGGGUUCAGACUGCGUAGAUGGAGUUCGACUAGCGGCAGACCACACCAGACCCUUGCUGCUUGGCUGCCCGCCCGGUGAUUCCAUGACUACCUUCUCAAAUUUGAUUGGAACUCCUCUUUGUGCACCUUGUAAUGUCUUCAUAUGCCCUGAACAGCUCUAACACAGAUAAGACUGGGACUGCCAGAAUGGAAAUCCCAAUUCUGUUGAGAGAAGUUUGGUGAAAAGUUUUCUGCAGACUCCAGCUGUGUGCCCCUCCAACAUGCUACGGAAAAUUUAUGGGCUGUGAAGAUUCCACAAUACAAAUGCUCUACCCAUCAGGGCGUUGCAAAGUCUUCGAUUUAUUUCAUGGAGAUGAAAAGGAAUGCUAUCCUGCGAGAGAAUAUCUUCCCAAGGAACUCAAACGCUCUUGCAAAUUUACGGAAGUGUCUGAGUUGGUGUCAAGUUUGUGGAUAAAAUGGCGUGAAUAAGAGAAUAGAUAAGAUAUAAAUUUGUUUUCUUAUGUUAUUAAGAAUAUCAAGCAACUCAGCAAACUUUAAGGUCAGAUCAUAUUAGAUGAUAUAUGUAUUCCUGCAACAACUGAGAUUUUGCUAGAGUAUCUUAUUUUUGUUACAAUAUGGUAAUCACGCCAAAUGAAUAGCUGAUUGAAUCCAUGCUCAGAACAUAUAUUUUUCUUUAUAGGGAAGAUCAUGUCGUCACCCCUAAGAAGACCAGGUUCUUAUGACAGACUAAAUUACUCCUACGAAACCAAAUUUGUGAUGCCAGUUGUUGUUGUUCUAAAAUUGCUUCACAGUUUCAAUGUUACCGCUCACAUUCUGU